rnacentral:rRNA from 1 species
UACGAAGGGGGCUAGCGUUGCUCGGAAUCACUGGGCGUAAAGGGUGCGUAGGCGGCUUGUUAAGUCAGGGGUGAAAUCCUGGAGCUCAACUCCAGAACUGCCUUUGAUACUGGCGAGCUUGAGUUCGGGAGAGGUGAGUGGAACUGCGAGUGUAGAGGUGAAAUUCGUAGAUAUUCGCAAGAACACCAGUGGCGAAGGCGGCUCACUGGCCCGAUACUGACGCUGAGGUGCGAAAGCGUGGGGAGCAAACAGG